rnacentral:rRNA from 1 species
AUUGAACGCUGGCGGCAGGCCUAACACAUGCAAGUCGAGCGGAUGAAGGGAGCUUGCUCCUGGCUUCAGCGGCGGACGGGUGAGUAAUGCCUAGGAAUCUGCCUGGUAGUGGGGGAUAACGUCCGUAAACGGGCGCUAAUACCGCAUACGUCCUGAUGGUGAAAGUGGGGGAUCUUCGGACCUCACGCUAUCAGAUGAGCCUAGGUCGGAUUAGCUAGUUGGUGGGGUAAAGGCCUACCAAGGCGACGAUCCGUAACUGGUCUGAGAGGAUGAUCAGUCACACUGGAACUGAGACACGGUCCAGACUCCUACGGGAGGCAGCAGUGGGGAAUAUUGGACAAUGGGCGAAAGCCUGAUCCAGCCAUGCCGCGUGUGUGAAGAAGGUCUUCGGAUUGUAAAGCACUUUAAGUUGGGAGGAAGGGAAGUAAGUUAAUACCUUGCUGUUUUGACGUUACCAACAGAAUAAGCACCGGCUAACUUCGUG